CUCACGGAUACCUACGGAGGCUGUGAAGCCAGGGCCUUUCUAGUUCUUGGCUGACCCCCAGUGUCCUGUACAGAGCCUGGCCCACAGUAGCUGCUGCCUGUAUUUGUUGAAUGAAUGAAUGAAGGUGUAUACUCAGCAUGUGAUCUUGCACUGUCAUUGGUUGUCCCCACAUCCUCAUUUGUGUUGGCUUAAGCAGAGAGGCUUUGAGGAUCGGGUCAUGUUUCACUCAUGUUCCAUAGGAGAAGUGUGUCCUCCUGAGAUAGGAGCAUGUGGCAGGGGCCUGGCUAGCUCUGCGGUUCUACAGCUCUGCGGGUCUUUGAGACCUUCUGUUCCCCCAGGCCAGCCACGCUUCCCCUCCUGAGCUCUACGGGCAUUCCUGCCAUGAGGACUCAUGAUCCUGAAGACAAUGAAGAAGAAAUAUGACAGUCGGUCCCGAGUGUGGAAUGAACACUCUGCUCUCCCAGCUGGGGAACUCCGUGAGGACCCACAUAAGCAAUGCAGAAGCAUUGGGAAACACAUGCAAUAACUGGGGCCAUCUGUUUUCUCCUGAAAACUAGUGGUGGGCUGGAUUCUCUGAAGAGUUUCUCAAGGCAUGUUGGACCAGAACAACCUGCUCAGAGAAGAGGCAAGGUCCCUGCCUGGGCCUCUGAGGUGUUGGAGGUGGGGCCAGCCCACCCCCAGGCCGUGAGGCCUGGCUGCUGGAAGGAGGCAGGACCCAGAAGGUUGCUGCCAUCCUGGGGUGUCUGAGUCCCCAUGUGGCCCAGCUGUGUUCCUGCUGGCCCGGCAUCCACACCCUUGUCUCUGGAUGUGCGGUGGGAGAAUUGUCUUUCUCCACGAACAGGCCAGGUGGUUCCUGGGAUUGACCUCUCUCUCCCAGGUGUGGACAAGCAGAGCAUCCUACGUCCCCAGCUACAGCGACUGGCUGAUAUGGUUUGGCUGUGUCCCCACCCAAAGCUCAUCUUGAAUUCCCACGUGUUGUGGGAGGGACCCAGUGGGAGGUAAUUGAAUCAUGGGGGCAGGUCUUUCCUGUGCUGUUCUCAUGAUAGUGAGUAAAUCUCACAAGAUCUAAUGGUUUUAUAAGGAGGCUGCACAAGCUCUUUCUCUGCCUGCUGCCAACCAUGUAAGAUGUGACUUGCUCCUCCUUUGCCUUCCACCAUGAUUAUGAGGCUUCUCCUGCCACAUGGAACUGUGAGUCCAUUAAAAUCUUUUUCCUGGAUAAAUUACCUAGUCUCGGGUAUGUCUUUAUCAGCAGCGUGAAAACGGACUAAUACGCUGGGCUAGGCUUGGUCAUGUGACCCAGGCCAAUCAAUGAAAUACAGGCUUGGGACUUUUGCAGGGAUAAUUUAGACAGGAAGGCUCUUUUCCCAUUAGGGUGCUAGGCUGGGCUAAUAUGUCAAACCAGCUGGUGGUCUCCCUCUUUAACCACAUGGAGAAAUCCCUUGCAAGUAGAAAAAAAAAAGCAAAGCUAUUAGACAGAGGAGGGUAGAGCUGAAGAUGGGGUGAUAGACAGCCCUGAUGACAUUGUUUGAAUCCCUGGAUCCAGGUGGUCCUGAAGCCUGCCUACCACCCCUGGUCUUUUAGGUAUUUGAACCCAUCACUUCCUUGUUUUGCUUAAACAAACUGUGGUUAGGUUCAGAAUCCUGGUUUAAACACCCGUCCCUGAGUUCUUUCAUAGGUUGCACUUGCUGUCCCAGGGCCUUUACUGUCUAGGUUGGAUGAUAGGUACACAGCCUUUCUCCUGUACUGGGGUGGAAGCCCUGGUGCCUGCUAUAUCUGGGCUUUGAUGCCUGGGUCAGGAUCUUGAAACUUCUCUGCAGGCAUUUCCUUUCAUGGGAAGCCCAGCAACUUGGCUGUUAGACUUGAGGUCAAAUCCUGGUCCUGCCACUGGGCAGGUGACCCUGUCUGCACCCCACUAUCCUCAUCUUUACAUUCUCCUGGGGAUAAUAUCCCCACCUCCCAGGAUGUCGGGGGAAUGAAUGAGAGAUGCUGUGAAGCACCAGGCAAGGUGCUGGUGGAUGUGGGAGCUGUUUCAAUUAUUGUUAUUUGUGCCUCACACACCCAGAGUGAAAGGGAAGCUGUGGGCUGGUCUCACAGGCCAGCCCCUGCAGCCUCUGAGUUUUUUAAUGAA
rnacentral:lncRNA from 1 species